CACGCCCAUGAAUCCAAUUCAAUAGAAAUGUUUGAUUUCUAAGUGAUUUUAGAUACAGCUUUGGAUAAGCAAUGUAUCCGAGGGCAUAAAAUUUCCUGAGUUUAGUAUUUUUUCCAGCUGAGUGACUUUGAGCAGUGAUGUUUUAUUCUGUAGGCUCUCGGGAUCUAAUUGCAUGAUUUCAUCUCUCCCCUAUAUACCGUCCUGACCUAAGCAAGCUAGAAGUGGGAAUUACUGAGUCGUUUGUCUUAACGCUUCCAGAUUCAGUUUAAAGAAAUGUUCAGUGAGGAGUUCCCACACGGCUCAGAGGGUGAAGCAGCCGGUGUUGUCACUGCGGUGGCUCUGGCUACAGCUGUGGUGCAAGUUUGAUCCCUGGCCCGGGAACUUCUGCAUGCCUCAGGCACAGCCAACAAAAGGAAAGAAAAAAUUUCAGUGACAAUGUCUGCUGUGAUCUCUUGGAUAUCUAGGCAUGAGUCUAAGUGGGGGAGAGGUUGCCCUGCACAACAGGUUUUAACCCCAGGGGGGGCCUUGGUUGACUGAGGAACAAGGGAGGGCUGUGCAGUUGGAUGCUGUGGGGAGCAUGAUUGUGGUUAGCUGGGGUAUUCAUCACAGUUCACUGGGUGCAUCUGGUUUGGGUGUGCAUUAGAUAAGCCAACAGGGUUCUGAGUGAAAGCCCAUUGGCUCCCAACUCUCUCUAGUACAAAGGAGUAGAAAGGUGGUUUGUAAAGUAAAAUUGCAAAUUCUCAAAAAUAAUUUUUUCUUUUUUGCCUUUUAGGGCUGCGCCUGCAGCAUAUGGAGGUUCCCAGCUAGGGGUCUAAUCAGAGGUAUAGCUGCCAGCCUAUGCCACACCACAGCAAUGCCAGAUCUGAGCCACGCCUUCGACCUACACCACAGCUCAUGGCAACGCCCGAUCCUUAAUUCACUGAGCGAGGCCAGGGAUUGAACCCACAACCUCAUGGAUCCUAGUUGGAUCAUUUCCACUGCACCACGACAGGAACUCCUGAAGAGUUUUUUAAAAGCAUAACUCCACUAAAGUAAAAUCUUCACAGGAAACAAAUAUAGAAUAGAUAAAAAUGAAAUGGCUUUGGUGAAGGUGGGAGUAAACAAAGACACAGCCAGACUCCUCGAGGCCUUUCUAGAGCUCAGAGCACUAUUGACCCAGGUUGAUAAAACUAGCUAGCUUUCAUUAGGACUCACUAUGUGCCAGGCAUUGUGCUAAGAACUCUGUAAUCUAUUAGCUCGUGUAAUAAUCAGCCUUUUAGGAGGAAUAAUCCCUUAUUGGCCCCACUUGACAGAUUAAGAAGUGAAAAGCCAGAGCUGCCCUUUGUUGAGUUAAUUAGUGAUGACACGUGGUAAAUAAUGGACUUGACACCAGAUUUCCUGACUCCAAAGCCCAGGCUUUUAACUGCCAUGGUAUUUGGCCUUCUGGGAAAGGGUGUGUGUUGCAGGUGUCAGAUGUUGGGCAGUGCAGGGAGGUGAGAGGAAGGAGGGUAGCAUUGUGCUCACUCAAAGCAGCCCAAGCCCCAAAACACCCGUCUAGCCACGGUACCCUGGAUUGACCUACAUCUGCUUCCCCAAGUCUUAUCUCCUUCUCUUUUCUCCUCCUGCCUCUCUUCCUUUCCCAGCUACUCAUCUGUGGUUUCUCUUUGUCUCUGGCCUCCCCAGUCAAGUUGGGCACCUUGUGGUUAAACACAGGCUUUACUCUAUAAUGUUCCCAUUGCAUCUCUGAUUGAAUCUGACAUGUCGGCUAAGAACCCACACAUCUGUUUUCAGUUUUGUGAUGACCCAGGUGUGGCCACCAGAAUGCCAGAUGGGGGCAACUGUUGGUGCAUGAAAAUGAGGAGGGUAAACAUCAAAUGGAUUCUGUUUCUUUUACACAAAAACACAAGACACAUUUUGAGGUGGAAUUAAGUGCUCUAGUUCCCACACUUAUAUGUGAACAUCUUCCUUCUGAAUACUUCGCUAGCUUGAGCUCAGGUAUUUCAACAUUGCUUUGUAAAGAAAACGUUGCUUAUUCCAUACCGGCAUGCAGUCACCAAAGAAAUACUUGUAAGAAAUGUGAGAAGCUUAGGAGUUCCCAUCAUGGCUCAGCAGAAACAAAUCUGACUAGUAUCCAUGAGGAUGUGGGUUCAUUCUAUCCUUAGCCUUGCUCAGUGGGUUAAGGAUCUGGCGUUGCCGUGAGCUGUGGUAUAGGUCACAGACACAGCUCAGAUCUGGCAUGGCUGUGGCUGUGGUGUAGGCCAGUGGCUACCACUCCAGUUCAACCCCUAGCCUGGGAACCUCCACAUGCCAAGGGUGCAGGCCUAAAAAGACCAAAAAAAAAAAAAAAAAAAAA
rnacentral:lncRNA from 1 species